UACGGGGGGGGCAAGCGUUGUUCGGAAUUACUGGGCGUAAAGGGCGCGUAGGCGGCGCGGUAAGUCGGGUGUGAAAUCUCGGAGCUUAACUCCGAAACUGCAUUCGAUACUGCCGUGCUUGAGGACUGGAGAGGAGACUGGAAUUUACGGUGUAGCGGUGAAAUGCGUAGAUAUCGUAAGGAAGACCAGUGGCGAAGGCGGGUCUCUGGACAGUUCCUGACGCUGAGGCACGAAGGUCAGGGGAGCAAACGGG
rnacentral:rRNA from 1 species